AGCAGUCGCCGCGGUAAUACAGAGGGUGCGAGCGUUAAUCGGAUUUACUGGGCGUAAAGCGUGCGUAGGCGGCUUUUUAAGUCGGAUGUGAAAUCCCUGAGCUUAACUUAGGAAUUGCAUUCGAUACUGGGAAGCUAGAGUAUGGGAGAGGAUGGUAGAAUUCCAGGUGUAGCGGUGAAAUGCGUAGAGAUCUGGAGGAAUACCGAUGGCGAAGGCAGCCAUCUGUCCUAAUACUGACGCUGAGGUACGAAAGCAUGGGGAGCAAACAGGAUUAGAUACCCCCGUAGUCCCUGUCUCUUAUAA
rnacentral:rRNA from 1 species